UACGUAGGGUGCGAGCGUUGUCCGGAUUUAUUGGGCGUAAAGAGCUUGUAGGCGGCUCGUCGCGUCGGGUGUGAAAACUUGCGGCUUAACCGCAAGCCUGCACCCGAUACGGGCGGGCUAGAGUUCGGCAGGGGAGACUGGAAUUCCUGGUGUAGCGGUGGAGUGCGCAGAUAUCAGGAGGAACACCGGUGGCGAAGGCGGGUCUCUGGGCCGAUACUGACGCUGAGAAGCGAAAGCGUGGGGAGCGAACAGG
rnacentral:rRNA from 1 species